GACUUGUGUGUGUUGCUGUUCAGCGGUCUGCAUUCAAAAGAGUGUUACGACAUGCGGCAGUGGCGCCGUAAAAUCUUCAACUGGAUCGUAACUGGACUUAAUUGCCUGGUUGCAGUCAUUCGGUUGAUCGUUUACUGUGAGAAAAUUAGAGUGUUCAAGGCAGGCAUUAUUGCAAUUGAAUAUGUUAGCAUGGAAUAAUAAGAUAAGGCUUUCGCGUUUAUUUUGUUGGUUUCUAGGACUAAAGUAAUGAUUGAUAGGGAUAGUUGGGGGUGCUAGUAUUCAGAGGCCAGAGGUGAAAUUCUUGGAUUCUCUGAAGACUAACUACUGCGAAAGCAUU
rnacentral:rRNA from 1 species